CAGAUUGAUCCAGAACACUCGAGAGAGCAUCAGAGCUCUCUGACCCGAACUGCAACCCACCGGAAAUCGCCCCUCCGGCCAUCUCUCUGCGGAGGACCACCGGAAAAAGCUUCGUCUGGUCGUCGCCUACUUUCCUAUGGGCUCAGAUUAUACAUGCAGCAACUGCGAACGGAGAGCAGACGACGAGAAGCCCCGACCUAUCUCCGGCAACCUCUGUAAUUUCCGGCGAAUCCGGCCACCGUUUGGGCUGCCUUUGGUAGAACUUCAUCCUCUCGUCAAGCUCUACAUGUCUGUAUAAUUAAUUUUUAAAGUUGAUCGAGUGUUGACAAUUUCGUGUCUGGGUUUGGUCUCGGGCUACUGUGUUAUUCGACGCCGGCGACUCUUCCGUCCUUUCUGGGCUUCGUUUCUGGCUGGACAGCAUCUGUAGGCCGGGCCUCAAGGAUCACGCUAGGUUGUAGCACCAGAAACAUCAGUUCUUCCUCAAGCCAACUUCGGCAGCGUGUAGGAAACUGGGUUUGGCUUAAAUCAAUUCUUGAAGGACUCCAGUUACCCGAGGAACGGAAGGUUCGCAACUCUCGGAAUACGUGAGAGAAAGUAUCGGAAUCCAGUGUGGAUGCAGGUACUAUGCACUGGUGACGGGACAAUAGCGGACGGAGCUGGGUGUGCGGAACAAGUUCGGUAAACUUUGUUGUUUAGGUCUUGUUCUAAAUUCUAUUUCUCGAACUUCGUAUUUCGAGACUUGUUGAUAGUUAGUCUUGUGUCAAUUUUGGUUGAGUUCUCGUUUCCUUGAAAUUCAUACCUCGUGUGAUCCUUAUACAAGUACUGGAUGAGUGAAAUAGAUUUCAGCAACGCAAGUUUUUCACCUCAAAAAUAUCGAUAGCUCCCGCUGUGUGUUGCAAAAAGUUUUCUAACAAAAUGCCUAGCGGUCCUCUAGAAUGUGAAUCGAGCUUUCGGUUUAUAUUUUAGAGCUCCGCGGCACUGUGAUGUGCCCAAGUUGGUGAGGUGCGGUUUGGGGGCGUUACAAAAAGUGGUAUCAGAGCAAUGCUUUUGAGUCUUCGAUUUCAAUGAUUUAAAAACGUCUGAUACCCGAAAAAGUUCUGUUGGCUCGUGAAAAAUUUUCAAAUCCUGUUAAAAGAUUGACUUGAGAAAUGGUUGUUCAAAAACGUGUUGCGGAAGUCAGAACCUUUGACUUGAAAAGUUGUUAGAAUUUCCACCUAACGUUUGAAAAGGUUUGACUUCACGUUACUGUUCAAAAGUGUUGGUUUUGGGUGUUUACUAUUUACGUGCUUAAACCCGUACCGACUUUGAAAUGUCUUUUGUCGGAAUGACGCUUUGUGACGAAAAAGGCAAGUUUUAGUGGAAAUCGUUGUUUAACUUCAACGUGGGUUUUUCAUUUGAGGUUUUUGAACAAAACCUUACACUGAUUUAAACAGUUUUUCGAAGUUUGUCUAGAGUCUUGAUUUCCAGUUACGUGGGAGAUUUUAGGAAUUUCUUUACCAUGAAAUUCCGGUUCACUCCUUCGUAGUGAGAAAUAAUUGUUGCUAGUGUGUGUUCAUAUAAUUACAACUCUUCACGCAGUUUAGGGCCCGACUGGCCACCGAAUCCCCCUAAUGUAUGUCGCAUUUGAAAGUUGUUAAUUACUGAAUACAACUUGCGAUAAAUAAAUGACUCUGGAGUUAUUCUCCGAAACUUCAGCGUGUUGUCAGUCGAAACUGUUGUUUGUUUUGUUUUUGGAUUCCUUAAUCCGAAAAUCGUUAUCCCUUCUUCGAAAGGUUGACAUAUGUUCCGACUUGUCUUUGAAAUUGAAAUUGUGGUUGCGUGAUUUCCUAUACUUUUGAAUGUUGUUAUAUUGUUGGAUUCACUUACCGAUUUGGUUGUUUGCCAUCGCUUUGAUCAGUGAAUCUGGUUCGUUAAAAAUUGUGCUUAUUGCUAUUGAAGUUGGACUUGCUGAUUGAUUCUUCCUUGGAUAUCCUGUCGAGUCUAGUUUACUUGAUUGCUUCCACAGACUCGAUUGUUGUGAUUUGUGUCAUCAUCUUAUCAAGUCCAACUGUUGUAUGUUCAUACAUUAUGUUGAAUUGGUUUAUGGAUUCACUUCCAAAUUGUGCAUAAUCACGUGAAUCCUGUUCAUCGAAAUAUUGUUGGUAAGACUUGAUGUUACAUCUGUCUUGUAAUCUUUAUCGAGUCCAGUUACUGUUCAUCUCUUUAUUUGUUCUUGGAAUUUGAACAAGUAUUGCCACCCAAAGCUCCUCCACAGUGCACAGACUGUGAGAAAGGUUAUAUGGGCCCAGUAUGAGGUAAAAGUAAAAAGGAAAAGGUACGUGAACGACAAACUUUGGGUCCCAAUAAGCAUAGUUGAUGUUUGGACAACUGUCUUGUGAAUUUCUGUUAGUUGUCUGAGUGAUGUUGAUUGUUGCUCUCAUGUUAGACUUGAAAUGUCAUUUGACAACUCUCGAGGAAAUUGAAUCAUUAUUCCGAGAAGAUCCUGUCGAGCGCAACUCGUUGACGCUUCUCGUGCCUCAGGGGUAUGAGUCAAGGAAAAGUUGAUCUUCAGCUACUUAAUCUACUGAACAGCGGAAUGAAAUUCCUCGCUUAGACCUGUCGACUUCGAAAUUAAGUAAGAGAGAUUUAAUUGUGCUUUAGUGCUCGCCAUUUGACGUUGCUUGUGAAAUUUUAGGAUUUUAAAAUCUGGAAGCAUGGUUUCGGCGAGUGGUACCACAUAAGGCGUUGCUUUGGGGUAGCCGAGGAAGCUACGCGAUUAGAAGAUUUAUGGGUUUGACUAAGGUCACCCUAUGUUAUACUAUGUAGUGUGUAGACCUCCUUGGAAAUGGUUUAGCAAGUUAAUGCGGAUUCAGCAUGGACCAGAAGCAUGUCAUAAAGGAAGAAGGAGAAAAGGUGUGUGUCACUGAGCGACCUCUAUGGCGACUUCUCAAAUUUUGUUUCUUCGACACACUCGUAUGUGCGGCAGAAACUCUGUGUCAAUUAUGGCUAUAGUUGACUCGAGUUUUGGACGUCAAGAUGGGCGUAUGUACGAGGAAACAAGGCUACUUUGUUCCGUGGACCAAAUGGUUCGACUCUAGGUAUCGAGAAAUUUGGGCUGACGGUUGUGACUGACGGUUUUGGUUAGGCGGACGGUUGUGAUUGUGAUUUUGGGCUGUAUUGAAGACGCAGCUGGAUUGAGUCAUGGUGGUAACUGGGUUACGACAUCAUGAGUACGUAGUCUGUGGUAUGCGUGCGUGCGGUCAUGGUGGUAACUAGGUUACGGCAUUAUGAUUACGUAGUCUGUUGUAUGCGUGCGGUCAUGGUGGUAACUGUGUUAUUGCAUCAUGAGGGUUUUUGUGCAGGUUUGAUUAUCGAGUGAUCAUUAUCAAAGCUGAGGUGUACGUUCAAUGGUGUGGACGUGGAAGGGUGCUCUUAGUUUUAAGUCUUCCGCUGGGUAGUGAGUUGUGGUGGGUGUGUUUACUUAUUGAAUUGUCAUUCGGUUUGAUUUGUAAACUAUCUGUAAUAUAAUAUGUGACUCUAAAUAACAAGUCGGUAUUGAAAUUGUGAGUUCA